rnacentral:rRNA from 1 species
AUUGAACGCUGGCGGCAGGCUUAACACAUGCAAGUCGAGCGGAGCGAGGGUGCUUGCACCUUAGCUUAGCGGCGGACGGGUGAGUAAUGCUUAGGAAUCUGCCUAUUAGUGGGGGACAACAUUCCGAAAGGAAUGCUAAUACUGCAUACGCCCUACGGGGGAAAGCAGGGGAUCUUCGGACCUUGCGCUAAUAGGUGAGCCUAAGUCGGAUUAGCUAGUUGGUGGGGUAAAGGCCUACCAAGGCGACGACCUGUAGCGGGUCUGAGAGGAUGAUCAGCCACACUGGGACUGAGACACGGCCCAGACUCCUACGGGAGGCAGCAGUGGGGAAUAUUGGACAAUGGGCGGAAGCCUGAUCCAGCCAUGCCGCGUGUGUGAAGAAGGCCUUUUGGUUGUAAAGCACUUUAAGCGAGGAGGAGGCUACUUAGAUUAAUACUCUGGGAUAGUGGACGUUAUUCGCAGAAUAAGCCCGGCUAACUCUGUGCCAGCCGCCGCCGUAA